rnacentral:lncRNA from 1 species
GAAAUAUAGAAAAACUAUUCCCGUAAAUAUCAGUUUUUUUUUCUGACUUUUAAAAAUGGCCAAUUUGCAUAAAAAAUUUAUUAAAUUUUGAGCUUUUACAAAACUGAACCGUCUUUUUUGAUUUUACAGAUUCGGUCCGAAUUUUCAGCAAAUUAACUAAAAUACCAUUAUUACUUUUUCUUUCUCCUCUUUCUCUUUUUUUUUUUUUUUUCGUUCAUUUUUUUUUCUCUCGCCGAAAAAAGCAGCGGAGGCAGAGAUCGAGGCGGAAACGG